rnacentral:misc_RNA from 1 species
AAGUCGUAACAAGGUUUCCGUAGGUGAACCUGCGGAAGGAUCAUUAACACGUAUCCAAACGGAAAGUGUCAUUACCUGUGUAAGGAUGACGCAGUCACGAUCGUUGGAGGCCCACACGGCCGACGACCCGGUCGCUGGGCGCAAGCCCCCUGGUAACAAACCCCCUGCCAAUCGCGGCCGCGAUAAUACGCAGUCGACCAAAAACCGAACAACUGUUAACAAUGGAUAUCUUGGUUCUC